CGGGGUGUGGCGCAGUUGGCUAGCGUACUUGCAUGGGGUGCAAGGGGUCGGAAGUUCAAGUCUUCUCACCCCGA
rnacentral:tRNA from 1 species